UGGUUUCUCUUCAGAUCGUAUAAAUCUUUCGCCUUUUACUAAAGAUUUCCGUGGAGAGGAACAAUUCUGAGUUUUUUACCCUAUUUUAGU